GGACGCGGCCUCCUUACCUCAUUUGUCCUCGCCCCUCCCCGUCCCUCUACGCGUUUUGGUCCCUGUUUGGUGCUUUCUGUUUGCAGCUACGGCAAUCUGGGCAUAGGAACCAAUCAGAAACAAUCGCUUCAGCAAUCAAGACCAUUGUUCAUCAUGGAGGAACCCAUGGAUACCUCUGAGCCUCUAUCUGCAUUACCAUUCACUGGGCAGCAGUCUUUUGAGCCAAGUGGCAAAUUUGGACAGUAUCCAUCGAUGCAGAUGAACCACAUCCAGGCACUGGGGAAGUGGAGGACAUAGAACAGCUCAAUCAGUGUUUGAUCCAACACUUCCAUCUCAUUAAGACAAGUUUGAUUUUUCUUUGCUUUUUAUUUCAUGGAAUACAUGAGAAUCUCUUAACUGUUGGAGUUUCCAAGGAGGCAUACCUCAUGACUUCAGUUAAUGGAAAGAACAAAACUAAAAUGCUGUAUGGCCAAAGCCACAAAGGGAAGGAUCCACAAUUUACAUUCUUGGAGCUAUCAUCUGUACUGUACUGUUGUGAUCUACUGAUUGGCAUUGGCAUAGUAGUAGGGGUCAAGUGAC
rnacentral:lncRNA from 1 species